UACGGAGGGUGCAAGCGUUAAUCGGAAUUACUGGGCGUAAAACGCACGCAGGCGGUCUGUCAAGUCGGAUGUGAAAUCCCCGGGCUCAACCUGGGAACUGCAUUCGAAACUGGCAGGCUAGAGUCUUGUAGAGGGGGGUAGAAUUCCAGGUGUAGCGGUGAAAUGCGUAGAGAUCUGGAGGAAUACCGGUGGCGAAGGCGGCCCCCUGGACAAAGACUGACGCUCAGGUGCGAAAGCGUGGGGAGCAAACAGG
rnacentral:rRNA from 1 species